CAAAAAACAGUUUUAAAUGUAUCUCUUAUGAUGUUGUACUAUUUCUUUUUAAGUAAAAAGUUUAAAGAAACAAAAAUGGGUAAAAUAUUAUUGAAUUAUGUAUGUGAUUAUGUGUUAUGUAUCAAUUUAGAAAGUAAUAAAACAUGUGGAAAAUAUAAUAAAUGCGACGCGAAUGGACUAACAAAAAACGAAUUGAAUAAAAAAAAAUUAAUGAUCUUUUUAAAGGAAAGUAAGAUAAAUGAUUUUUGUAAAGAUAUAAAUAAAAUAAAUUUUUUGAAAAAAAAUAUAGCAGAUAAAGACAUAUGUUUAGCGAUAACAUGUUUGUUAAAAUUUAAUAUUGCUUCAACGAACAAAAUAAGUAAAGACGUGUUUGAAAUACAAAGUGAUUAUGCUUAUAAAAUGAACUGCCAUGUUUAUUAUAUUGUACUAUAUCUAUUAUGUAUAUUACAAAAGGAAUGUGUAUUUAAAUUAUUUAAAUUAUUAAAUGUAUUAAAAAGACAUUGUUCUUAUCAUAUUUCUGAAAUUAUAAUACAAAUAAUAAAAAAAAUGGAUCCUUAUAUUACUGCUAUUUUAAUUUAUACUAUAGGGAAUUUAACACCCCAUUUUUUUAUGCAAAACUGUUUAACAACUCAACGAUAUAAUAUUUGUUCUUUAUAUAUUGUUAAUAUACAAAAUUAUAUAGGAGUAUAUGACAUUCGGAAAUUUUAUUGUAUGUAUUUGUUUUACAUGACCUUGAGACAUAAUAUAGCGUAUACAGCAGAAAUUUUAAACUAUACAGCUCUUUUAUUUUACACAUUAUAUGAAAAAAAACAAGCUAAUAAUAAUCAUCAUAUUUAUCACUUAAAUUAUUUUGGAUUAAAAAAUAUAAAAAACGUUAUAAAUUUAUUAAAACAAUAUCCUAAACAUUCUCAAAAUUUUAUGUUUUUUCUUUUGUGUGCUUAUAAUUUACAUAAAAACACCCCCAAACGGGUGAGCGAUAUACAACAUCUAAGUUGCUUAUUUGACACGACACACAGUGUUAGUACUAUUGAUUGUAGUAACAGAAAUAUUCACAGUAUCAAUAAUAACAACAAUAAUAAAAGAACCAACACGAGUAAAAAAGAAAAACAAAAUAACAUGUUACAUAUUAAUAGCUUCGCUUUUAAAAAUUUAAAAAUGAAUAAAGUUGUAUAUGAAUUUUUUUACAACCCAAAUAUAAUAAACUUUGUAAAAAAUAAUAUUAAUGCAUUUGAAAAGUUACACUCGUGUAAUAGUAACGUAUUUGAUCAGGUUAACGAACUUUGUAGCUUCAAACAAGAAAAGACACAACAAAGUGAGACCAAACCAACCGAUAAAAACCAAGAGGAUGAAGGAAAAAUAAACUACAAUGACAUUCUAAAUAUUUAUAUUAGGUUUAUUAUUAUAAUCCAAAAUAUAGUUUGUUAUUACAUAAAUAAUAUGCUUUGGUUUGAAUUAUAUGAUUUUAUCACUUCUUUAAAAAUAGAUAUUGCAUCUUUUUUUACAUAUACUCAUUUUUUCCAGUCCAAUUAUUCUCAAAAUGUUUUUUGGGGUAUAUGCGCUAUAGAUAUAUCACAGUCUUACAUAAAAAAUUCAGAGUUUGACUUUACGAUGUUUAAUGAAGUGACUAAAAAUAUUGGCACAUCCUGUGAGGGAGUCCUAUGCGAAAAAAAAUGCAGCACGUUACAAUCUGAGCACAGUAUCAAAGUAAAACAAAAUGACACGUACGUUGAAAAAAAGAAACUUAACAAUGUGGCUAAAUUGGGUAGCGUGAAUGCAUUGGAAAGGGAUACAUCAGAAGGUGUGCCAGAAAGUGUGUCAGAAAGUGUGCCAAAAGAAUUACACCAAUUUGACCAGGACUACAUCGAAUAUGCGAACUACAUAAAAAAUAUGCAAACCGUUUUUGAAAUAACACAAAGAGAACAUAAAACUAUUAAUAAAAAUUUUUUUCCAAAUAUUAUAACAAAACCUAUUUUUUUUAUUGAUAUAUACAAAUCGUUUAAAACCCAUUUCGAUGUAGACCGUUUAAAAAUAAAACAACAGCAGAAUCAAUAUAAUGGUCACAAAAAUAAUGAUAAUUUAAAAAAAACAAACACAAAGCGCAUAACUAAAUUAGAAUUAGAAAACAUAAAAGAUAAAUAUCAAAAUAAUUUAUAUUCAUUUAAUAUUUAUAAUAAACUAACGAAUUAUAUAUUUUUAGAAACUUCUUUCACACCAUCUACAUAUACAUACAUACCUAUA
ensembl:lncRNA